rnacentral:lncRNA from 1 species
AAGUCUCGGGGGGAAAAGAUGCAAAAGACUUACAAAUGAUAAGCUCUUCUUAAGGUUAUGUUUAAUUCGAUGUGCUCAAGCUUCUGUUCUUGGUGCUGAAUAUUCAUGUUUAGUGAGGAGUCCCAGAGGCUUCCCAACAGUGUCAUUUUCUGCAAUUUCAAAGUGAAGAGAAAUGUGCUUUUUGCUGAUAAUGUACCUGAGGAGUGAUGAAGAGAUUUAUUUAGUAUAUCUGAAGUAGAGGUUGGGAAGCUGAAUGUUGCACAAGUUCCACAAAUGAUUCUGAUGGCAGCGAGCUGUUUGAACCACUGCUGUAGACAAUAAAGAGUGCAUCAGUCACCCUCCUACUUCCCUGCUCUUCCAUCGGCAUGGGUGCUCUCUUCGUGGCUCCCCACUUCCACACAUCAGCUUGAUGAACUCUCUAUAUCAUCCUCCAUGUAUCAGCACAUGACAAGCCUCCUGAGUUUUCUGUCAGCACCCUAUCCCAGGACAGAGCAUUCCAGGAGCAGUGUCAGAUCAACGUAGCUCAUGCACAGCAGCAGGUGGACCAGAUGCUGAACAUUACAUUGGCAAAAUAACAAGGCAAAAUUCUCCUUGCAAGCUCCUUUCCCUCCUUGUCUUCCUCCCACACAUAAAAAUUGGUGAUAACAGAAAAAGAGAGAGAGGCUGGGACAGACUACAGUUAUGUGACACUACGUUGUUGUUUAAUGUAUUUGACCUCGUUUUGUUUAUGUAUUAACUUCUGUCACAGCAUUAUAUGUGGUAAAUAGCUGGCAGUAGGUGUCUCCAUGACGUCUCUAAA